rnacentral:rRNA from 1 species
CCUACGGGUGGCAGCAGUGAGGAAUAUUGGUCAAUGGACGAGAGUCUGAACCAGCCAAGUAGCGUGAAGGAUGACUGCCCUAUGGGUUGUAAACUUCUUUUAUAAAGGAAUAAAACGAGGCACGUGUGCCUUUUUGCAUGUACUUUAUGAAUAAGGAUCGGCUAACUCCGUGCCAGCAGCCGCGGUAAUACGGAGGAUCCGAGCGUUAUCCGGAUUUAUUGGGUUUAAAGGGAGCGUAGAUGGGUUGUUAAGUCAGUUGUGAAAGUUUGCGGCUCAACCGUAAAAUUGCAAUUGAUACUGGCAGUCGUGAGUACAGUUGAGGUAAGCGGAAUUCGUGGUGUAGCGGUGAAAUGCUUAGAUAUCACGAAGAACCCCGAUUGCGAAGGCAGCUUACUAAACUGUGACUGACAUUGAUGCUCGAAAGUGUGGGUAUCAAACAGGAUUAGAUAUCCCGGUAGUC